AUGGCGGCGCAUGCCCACCCUAAACACGUUGCAUACAUUAUCCAGUUAUCUUACUUGGUCCUUGGAGCCACAAGUCAAGUGCCAAGGUUGGCAAUGCAGACAUCAAGACAGAAGAACAUGCUUUGCCCUUUAAAAGCUUCUUGUUCCCUGGAGAGACCAGUGAUGUGUCUGAGCAUGGAGAAGACACAGCGGGGCUGAGUCACUAAUGCUGGAUACACCCAAAGUCAAGAAAAAAAAUAGUUACAUUUGGUCUGAGGACAACUAUGUCCUGAAUAAGGUGGUAAGAAGUCUGGACUCAUGAGACACACUUGCAUGUCUCAUUUGAAGGAGCAGUUUCUCCAGUUUGUACCCACAGUAUAGGUCAGUGCUGACCUGUCUCCAGCUCCUGGACUGACGCAAUCUUCAGAAACAGAAGCUGGAGGCCAGAGGAGGAACCAAAUGGGAGAGGCCACAUGCUCCAACGAUGCAAAUGGUAUUACUGAGAAAGAAUGUUCAUGAUGCUUACCAGCCACUGAGUGCAAAAUUGUGUGAUCUCAUCUCACUCCUAGAACAACCCAUGGGGUAGGUACAUUUUUGGCGAUACAGACACCAAAGCAUUGGUGUCAAAGUGACUUACUCAUCUCAGUGGCAGCUCUAGAAUCAGUUCACACCUUAAUGACAAAGUGCCCCGUUUUUGGUUUCCGGUUGCCUGCCUCUCAGAUAAGCAUAGCACUCUGUUGUGUGGGAUGGAUAUGGCAUUCUCCUUAAUGGCACUGUUCAUGGCACUGAGGUCUUCAGAAUACACUCUUGAUGGCCACCACCAAACAGGUUUCAUGCUGGCAGGAUGCUAUCAAAGGCUGGACAGACUAUAGCCAGAGAACUUGUAGGUCCCUGCACUCUGGGUGAAUGACCCCAGGGGCUACUGUAUAAAGACUAAGAAUUUUGAAGAGAGAUUCCUGUGAUACCGAAUCUGCAGAAAAUGGGAAUGGCCAAGUGCCCAGAGUUGACUUUGGAACUGCUGACGUGAGUUUCCAUCUCAAAGCAUCCCAGUCCUUGGUCAAAAAUUUCCUGUUUUCUGAGUUUAUUUUACUCUGGAUUUUAGAGGUGUUAGCAAUUCUAUUUAGUAGAGAUUGAUGCAUUAUUGUUAAAGUUUUAUCAUAAAUUGGCACUUUCCCCUUGAAAGAUGUUCAUGAACUGUGACCUGAAGUGUGUGAUUUUU
rnacentral:lncRNA from 1 species